CUUCCACCGGUUGUGAUUUUGUCCCAGGAGAAUGUGUGCACACGGUGGCCACCAGAGGGAGCCCUUCAGCGACAGAGGAUGAGAGCUGCAGGAUGGACAAGAACUACAGCGAGAAAAGGGAGACAGAAGAGGAUGGACGUUGCUUUGCAAUCAAAUUGCAGAUUUUUUUCCCAUGCUUACUGUGUUUGGGAAAAAAAAAAAG
rnacentral:lncRNA from 1 species